GGUGAGAUGGCCGAGCGGUCUAAGGCGCCAGACUAAGGAGAUUUUCUGCCAUCUGGUCCUCACGGGCGUGGGUUCGAAUCCCACUCUCAUCA
rnacentral:tRNA from 1 species